rnacentral:rRNA from 1 species
UACGGGGGGGGCAAGCGUUGUUCGGAAUCACUGGGCGUAAAGGGUGCGUAGGCGGGUCUUUAAGUCAGGGGGGAAAUCCUGGAGCUCAACUCCAGAACUGCCUUUGAUACUGAAGAUCUUGAGUUCGGGAGAGGUGAGUGGAACUGCGAGUGUAGAGGUGAAAUUCGUAGAUAUUCGCAAGAACACCAGUGGCGAAGGCGGCUCACUGGCCCGAUACUGACGCUGAGGCACGAAAGCGUGGGGAGCAAACAGG